ACAGGUGUAAAUGGUUACAGGGAAAACACUCAAGUGUGCACUGUUGGCAAGAGUAAAUGAGUGCUGGUGCUGAGAGCAUUCAUGGGCAGACGCAGAUGGAGCUGUAGCCUACCAGGAAUGCUCUUUUCUGCAGGAGAUGAACCUUCAAGCUUUGAGCUCAACCACCAGCAGAGCCAAGAAAAUCUCCCACCUCCCCAUGCCGUAUGCUACUGAGAUAGCAGUUUGUAUCAUCGGCCAAAGGAUAACACAUUGAAAUGUGUGUGAGGAGCCUUAUAAGGGCAUUAACACUUGCCUCCAGGUUGGACGUCACGACGGCGAGCCAAGGAGAGGUGCCAAUAAUAGAUUCCUUGUGUUUGUACAUGCCGCGGUGACUAUUUGUGCCGCUCGUGGGAAACGGAGUGAUAUGCCAGACGGCAAAGUGUUUCAUCUUCCCAGAGUCACGGGGGUUGGUCCUGAGUGAGUCUUCUCUCAGACAUGCAGCCCCGUUCCUGGAAAGGUCAGCGAGCAGAUCCUGCCAGCCUAGGGGCCAGCUGCAAGAGGGGAGCUGGGCACCAAUCCCACACCCUCUCCCUUCACCAGAUAGCUCCCCUUCAGCCCAGAGAAGGCAAGAUUAAGUGGUAGUAACUCGGAGCUGAGGCACUAUGUGUGCCUUGCCUUGUGCAUCUGCACCUUGGCUUCCCCUGUGUGAAGGGGGCUGAUAAGAUGUGCCAUCCUCUGCCAGCUGCCCUUUGUUCUUCAUAGCAAAAUGCUGGACCCGUUAAUUGCAGGUAUUCCCCAUCUGGUGCCUCAAACCAGUGGGGAAAAAUCUGUCAAGCCCAAAUUCCUGCUCUGAUUAUACCAUCCCCUAAAGUACUGCUUCACCUAUAGGGGACGGGGGGAGGACAGUUGUGUGAUGUGAAAAAUGGCUGGUGGUGCCUGUCCUGGCGCAGUAAUGCUGCUGCUUCUCUCUGCCACCUGCUGAGCCAAAUACUUCCUGAUGGCAUCAUCUCGUGUUUACUCAACUAAUGGCCUGCUUGCACAUUGCUCUACCCCUCAGGCUCUGCUGGCCACAGGUGUAACCUGUGGAGAAUUUAUAACUCAGGCAAAGAAGCCACACGGUUUUGUACUGAGAAAUGUCGUUUAUUUGCUAGGACUGUGUUUGGCCAGGGUGAGCUGUACAAGAACCAGAACAAGUCACCCAGAGCUGCAAGGGGAAAAGUAUGAAUUAGGUUACAACAGCAUUUGAAUGCCUGCAAAUGAAAGCCAAAACAACCCUGGCCUCAUUCCCAAGCUGCUUUAUGAAAUCAGUUCUUACAGGCCAGCAAGACACCAGGCAACAUGUUGACCAUAUCACUUUUCCCCUCAUCUUUCAAAUGCUCCAUCAUCUUAUUCUGGGAUGCACUGUUGCUACCAAGAGUCUUCUGUGAUCAAAACUCCCAGCUGAGGUGACAUUUUCUGACUUGUCUCUUUUUUUUCUGGUCUGAUCCUUCAGAUGGAAAUGUGUAGAACUCAGGCACUAGCUGUGUAAACAGUCAUCCUGCACAUACAAAGGCAACACCACAGGAAAUCCUUUUCCAAAGAAAAUGAUAGAACAA